UAGGGAAUAUUGGGCAAUGGAGGCAACUCUGACCCAGCCAUGCCGCGUGCAGGAAGACGGUCCUCUGGAUUGUAAACUGCUUUUGAAUGGGAAGAAUGUGAUGCUUGCGARCGUUAAUGACGGUACCAUUAGAAUAAGCCACGGCUAACUACGUGCCAGCAGCCGCGGUAAUACGUAGGUGGCGAGCGUUAUCCGGAUUUAUUGGGUUUAAAGGGUGCGUAGGCGGCUUAAUAAGUCGGUGGUUAAAAGUAGCAGCUUAACUGUUUUACAUGCCAUCGAUACUGUUGAGCUUGAGAUAUUUGGAGGCAGCUAGAAUUUCCGGUGUAGCGGUGAAAUGCAUAGAUACCGGAAGGAAUACCAAUUGCGAAGGCAGGUUGCUACGAAUAAACUGACGCUGAUGCACGAAAGCGUGGGGAUCAAACAGGAUUAGAUACCCUGGUAGUCCACGCCGUAAACGAUGAUUACUAGUUGUUGGGGUUUAAGCCUCAGUGACCAAGGGAAACCGAUAAGUAAUCCACCUGGGGAGUACGCCGGCAACGGUG
rnacentral:rRNA from 1 species